UACGUAGGGUGCAAGCGUUGUCCGGAAUUAUUGGGCGUAAAGAGCUCGUAGGCGGUUUGUCGCGUCUGCUGUGAAAACUCGGGGCUUAACCCCGGGCCUGCAGUGGGUACGGGCAGACUAGAGUGCGGUAGGGGAGACUGGAAUUCCUGGUGUAGCGGUGAAAUGCGCAGAUAUCAGGAGGAACACCGGUGGUGUAAACGGCUUUCUGGACCAUAACUGACGCUGAGGCACGAAAGCGUGGGUAGCAAACAGG
rnacentral:rRNA from 1 species